rnacentral:tRNA from 1 species
GAGGACAUAGCUCAAGUGGUAGAGCGCAUGCUUCACAUGCAGGAGGUCCUGGGUUCAAGCCCCAGAAUCCCCA